AACGAACGCUGGCGGCAUGCCUAACACAUGCAAGUCGAACGAGACCUUCGGGUCUAGUGGCGCACGGGUGCGUAACGCGUGGGAAUCUGCCCUUGGGUUCGGAAUAACAGCGAGAAAUUGCUGCUAAUACCGGGUGAUGACGUAAGUCCAAAGAUUUAUCGCCCAAGGAUGAGCCCGCGUAGGAUUAGCUAGUUGGUGAGGUAAAGGCUCACCAAGGCGACGAUCCUUAGCUGGUCUGAGAGGAUGAUCAGCCACACUGGGACUGAGACACGGCCCAGACUCCUACGGGAGGCAGCAGUGGGGAAUAUUGGACAAUGGGCGAAAGCCUGAUCCAGCAAUGCCGCGUGAGUGAUGAAGGCCUUAGGGUUGUAAAGCUCUUUUACCCGGGAUGAUAAUGACAGUACCGGGAGAAUAAGCUCCGGCUAACUCCGUGCCAGCAGCCGCGGUAAU
rnacentral:rRNA from 1 species